GAUGAACGCUCGCGGGAGGCCUAACACAUGCAAGCCGAGCGGUAGAGUUUCUUCGGAAACUUGAGAGCGGCGCACGGGUGCGUAACACGUGUGCAACCUACCUUUAUCUGGGGGAUAGCCUUUCGAAAGGAAGAUUAAUACCCCAUAAUAUAAUGAUUGGCAUCAAUUAUUAUUGAAAACUCCGGUGGAUAGAGAUGGGCACGCGCAAGAUUAGAUAGUUGGUGAGGUAACGGCUCACCAAGUCAAUGAUCUUUAGGGGUCCUGAGAGGGAGAUCCCCCACACUGGUACUGAGACACGGACCAGACUCCUACGAGAGGCAGCAGUGAGGAAUAUUGGACAAUGGGUGAGAGCCUGAUCCAGCCAUCCCGCGUGAAGGAUGACGGUCCUAUGGAUUGUAAACUUCUUUUGUACAGGGAUAAACCUACCCUCGUGAGGGUAGCUGAAGGUACUGUACGAAUAAGCACCGGCUAACUCCGUG
rnacentral:rRNA from 1 species